CAGUAGCGCGGUAAUACAGAGGGUGCAAGCGUUAAUCGGAAUUACUGGGCGUAAAGCGCGCGUAGGUGGUUUGUUAAGUUGGAUGUGAAAUCCCCGGGCUCAACCUGGGAACUGCAUCCAAAACUGGCAAGCUAGAGUAUGGUAGAGGGUGGUGGAAUUUCCUGUGUAGCGGUGAAAUGCGUAGAUAUAGGAAGGAACACCAGUGGCGAAGGCGACCACCUGGACUGAUACUGACACUGAGGUGCGAAAGCGUGGGGAGCAAACAGGAUUAGAUACCCCUGUAGUCCCUGUCUCUUAUACC
rnacentral:rRNA from 1 species